rnacentral:rRNA from 1 species
UACGGGGGGGGCAAGCGUUGUUCGGAAUUACUGGGCGUAAAGGGCUCGUAGGCGGCCAACUAAGUCGGAUGUGAAAUCCCCAGGCUUAACCUGGGAACUGCAUUCGAUACUGGAUGGCUUGAAUUCGGGAGAGGGAUGCAGAAUUCCAGGUGUAGCGGUGAAAUGCGCAGAUAUCGGGAAGAACACCCGUGGCGAAGGCGGUUCUCUGGGACGGUACUGACGCUGAGACGCGAAAGCGUGGGGAGCGAACAGG